AGGGCGCCGAGCGCUCGGUCCCGGCCGGGAGGGCGGGAUGGCGCUGUCUGCGGCAGAGCGGGCCAUGGUGCGCGCGCUGUGGAGGAAGCUGGGCGACAACGUCGGCGUCUACGCGACCGAGGCCCUGGAGAGGACCUUCCUGGCCUUCCCUGGCACCAAAACGUACUUCCCACACUUGGACUUGAGCCCCGGCUCCGCCCAGGUCAAAGCGCACGGCCAAAAGGUGGCCGACGCACUGACCCUCGCCGUGGACCAGCUGGACGACCUGCCCGGCGCCUUGUCCUUUCUGAGCGACCUGCACGCACACAAGCUGCGUGUGGACCCGGCCAACUUCCAGCUCCUGUGCCACUGUCUACUGGUGACCCUCGCCCGGCACUUUCCUGGGGACUUCAGCCCCACCAUGCAGGCCUCGCUGGACAAGUUUCUGAGCCGCGUGACUUCCACGCUCGCCUCCAAGUAUCGCUGAACUCUGGUUGGUGGUCGGGGGCCUCCUGGCAAAGCCAAGAAGUCCCCUUUCCCGGCCGGCAUUUGAAUAAAGUCCCCCAGAACAGCCUCCUGACAGGUAACUGCAGAAAACAUCAGGAAGUAAUUACCCGUCUGCUGCCGGCCCCUUUCCACUACUGGAGUCAGGAGCAGAUCUGGCACAUGGCAAAGGAACAUCCAGAGCACAUGCAGGACACAGACAUACCCAUCAGACCACCAAUGGGCACAAACAGGUCUGCAGCCUCUGUGUAGCCAGGGGACAGUCUUUCAGCUCUUGCUAGCCUCAAAUACCAGUGGACAGAGCAGACCACACAAGAAGGGUGUGUUGGUCAACAACCUUCCCAGGCUGACAGUAUCCAGGCACUUCUGGGGUAUUUGUGGGGUUCCCAGGAGAGACUGGCAUUGGAACCAGGAGACUGCAGGUCCCCUGCCCAAUGACACUGGGCACAGUCCACCCAGCAAGGGCCUGGGCACAACAAAAAUGUGCAGGGGGGCGAACUGCUCUCUGCUUGGGCAGAGACAUCCCUCUUCUGCCCUUGACGUGGGGCUCCUCGUUCUUGGGCUUUCCAAGCACUGGUUCCCUGGUUCUUGGGUCCUUGGGCUGGGAGUGGAACCACACAACCUGGCUUUUCUGGGCCUCCAGCCUGCAAUGGCAGGUGCUGACUUCCCAUCCUGGGGCAGCAAGGGCCAAUCCCACAUAAUAACUAUGAAUCUCUAUGUCCUACUGCUUCUGUUUCUCUAGAGAAUCCUAGGAAGAAAAAACAAACAAAAAGCAGUGAAAAACUGCCAGGUGUGGUCUAGUUCCACCACCUGGGAGACUGAGAACACUAGCCCAGGACAUCAAGGCCAGGCUGGCAACAUAGUGAUACCUUGUUUCAAAAAAUAAUACUUAAAAAUGAACUUUUAGCUGGGCACAUCCCAGCAGCUCAGGGGGAUCCCAAGUUCAAAGCCAGCCUCAGCAACUUAGUGAGACCCUAGAUAACUUGGUGAAGGUGAGACCCUGCCUCAAAAAAUAAAAAAGACCUGGGGAUGUGGCUAACUGGUCAAGUGCUUCUGGAUUCAACAAUGGUACCAAAA